ACCUGGGUGGCUCAGUUGGUCGGGCAUCUGACUUCGGCUCAGGUCAUGAUCUCGUCAUCCGUGGGUUCGAGCCCCGCGUCGGGCU
rnacentral:tRNA from 1 species